rnacentral:ribozyme from 1 species
AGGCCGGGCCGGCAUUGCAGUCGUCGCGGCCACGGUGGGCUGCGCGGCCGCGGGCGGCAACGCCGGGCGCUCGAGCUGCGACUCAAAGUCGAAGGUGAGGUCGUCAUCCUCCAUGCUGGAAAGGAUCGGUAUUGACUGCGUCCGAAA